GGCGCUUGGCGGUAUCUACGGUGCAAGCACCCUCCAGAUGAUACAUGCGGUAAGUCGGCGAUAUGGAUCCGUGCCGUAUCGUGGCGUGUACUACAUGUUUCGUGUCGCCGUGCCGAUUGUGUUUUCCUGCGCCGCGUAUCGCGUGAUUAUGCAGUCGUACUUGGCUGGCGGUUGGUGGCAGCAGCAGCAACAGCAACAGCAGGAGCAACAGGAGCAAAGCGCAGCGGAGCAGACCCCUUAAGGAAAGGUGUCCAGCCCUAAAACAAAGUCCGGAUUAGCGUUGCUAGCCACCGUCCAAGCAUGAUUGCUGUGUAUCUCAGUAUGUGCCUGUGUUUAAUGACCUCGUUGUGGGAAACGCUGCCCGUCGCGGUAAUGGACGCCGCGCUAUCGCUCCACAUCGACGCCUUCCGGCAACUGCUGCCACGGUACCGCGGAUAUGAAUGCCACACGGUACGGUGCGGUUCCGUACAGUAACGUACGGUGCGGUACGGGUGCAAGGGUUUCAAAUAAAACCUGCAGUAGCAUGUCGUAAAACACAGCAGGAUUCCGGAAGUGGUCUCCCUGGUAGUGGCCUGAGUUCUCUCUCGCUUCCCUGCGCGGGAGUGCACUGUCUGUCUGUCACCAGGGAGCAGUUUUUCCGCAGGAGGGCGGGUGGUGCAUACGAGGUGAGAUAGAGAAGGAUAGGAACGGUUGAGAAGCGCCAAGGCCUCGCCGGUGUCCGUUUUUAGUAGUCCCUUAGGUGGAGCUGCCAAGAGCGCACCACUCGCCAGCCCCAC
rnacentral:lncRNA from 1 species